GGGAGAGAGGGCCGUGGGUGCCCUGGCGUGAGCAGAGGCUCCGAUUAGGGCCUUGGUGACAGCCUCCUGCACACGAUCAGUGGGCUGGCCCUGGCGGUAUUCAUCAUCCAAAUAUUCCAGACUGUUUUGCUCGCGGAGACCGCUUGCCGAACUCUUCCCGACUGGGCAACGAUUUUCCAGUUUCGCUAUCUCUGUAGCUUCUUCAGGGAAAGAGAUCUAAUUCUCAUCGGUUAGGGUUUUUAAGGGGGCCUUGGUGACAGCCUCCUGCACACGAUCAGUGGGCUGGCCCUGGCGGUAUUCAUCAUCCAAAUAUUCCAGACUGUUUUGCUCGCGGAGACCGCUUGCCGAACUCUUCCCGACUGGGCAACGAUUUUCCAGUUUCGCUAUCUCUGUAGCUUCUUCAGGGAAAGAGAUCUAAUUCUCAUCGGUUAGGGUUUUUAAGGGGCCUUGGCGACCGCCUCCUGUACACGAUCCAUAGGUGGGCCCUCGCGGUAUUCAUCAUCCAGAUAUUCUAGACUAUUUUGCUUGUGGAGACCGCAUGCUGGAGUCUUCUCGACUGGGCAACGACCUGCCAGUUUCGCUAUUGCUUUAGCUUCAUCAGGAAAAGAGAUCUGUUUCUAUCUAGCCGGUAAUGGGUUAUAAAGGAUUAAGGCCUUGGCGACCGCCUCCUGUACACGAUCCAUAGGUGGGCCCUCGCGGUAUUCAUCAUCCAGAUAUUCUAGACUAUUUUGCUUGUGGAGACCGCAUGCUGGAGUCUUCUCGACUGGGCAACGACCUGCCAGUUUCGCUAUUGCUUUAGCUUCAUCAGGAAAAGAGAUCUGUUUCUAUCUAGCCGGUAAUGGGUUAUAAAGGAUUAAGGCCUUGGCGACCGCCUCCUGUACACGAUCCAUAGGUGGGCCCUCGCGGUAUUCAUCAUCCAGAUAUUCUAGACUAUUUUGGUAAUGCUCAAUCAAAAUUUGUCGUGUUUGUUUUGCCCAGGUUUCAGCAUUAGAGGCCAAUUUUUGUAAUGUUUCCUGGGUAGGAUUUGCCGGUUUUAUAAAGUGUGUUAAUAUCCUUGCCUGCCUCGUGAUACCCUUGGGAGGUUGGCCAUUCUCUUGCACUACCCUCAGAUGGUGCAGUGUUUUGGCCAUUUUAUAAAUAACUCUAACUACGACUGCAAAGGAAUCCCUCGGUUCAUACCUGUGCUGGUCGCGAUUCCCAUUGUUAUUGUAGUUAUACCCUCUCCUUCCCCUCCCUCCCCUCUGCAUGUCAUUGUUCAUAUCUAGCUCAGUCAGUACAAUGUCUUACUUCUGUAUUUAAACUAUAAACAUCAAUUAUUUCUGUACAGAACUAUGAACAUCAAUUAUAUCUCAACAUCCAUUAUCUCGUUCAGUACCAUGCAAUGCUACUGAUUUAAACAAUAAACAUAAAUUAUCACUAGCG